AGUAUUAGAGUUUAUCAGAAACCGGUUCUCGUCCGAUCACCGAAGUUAAGCAAUGUCGGGCCCGGUCAGUACUUGGGAGGGUGAACACCUGGGAACACCGGGUGCUGUAGGCU
rnacentral:rRNA from 1 species